UACAAAUGUUACAAAAAAAAAAAAUAAAUUACUGAUCAUGGGCUUGCCAUUAGAAAUAAAGAAAACAAAGGAAUGAUGAGACCCUGCUCAUUUGGCCAAACUCUACACUGAUGCAAAUCUACUGUAAUGGAUGGAUUUUUGUGGACUCACUAGUUCAUCUGAUAAGUUGAACUCCAGGUAUGUCAGAUCUUUAACUCUUCUUGUGAGCCAGCUGCCAAAUCAAAAUAUGCCUUGGAGAAAUUCAAUCCAGGAUUUAAUUAUAUGCCUAUGAUUGAAGCAUUCAUCUUGUCAGCACCUCCAUGGUAGUUAAGCUCUACAAAAGUGCCCCCUCCUUCUCCUUUGGCCAAUCUUCCAGGGUUUAUACAAAUGCAUUUCAUUUGCUCUUCUCCUUCACUUCCUCCACCCAGGGACAGUACCUGUGUUCAUGUGUACGCAUUUGAGAAUUAUAGAAAGUUGAAACCGAUCUUUCAAUCAGGAAACCACUUGCAUUUGAGAGUUAUAGUUUUACUGCAGCAUUGAAAUUUGGACUACAAUGAAAAAUGAUGGAGAUGCCUGACCUUUACAAAGUACUUCAUGUCUGAAGGCAGGAUGAGAAUAUCAGGAACUGAGGUGAAAUGAAGUGCUUCUGGAGCAAGUGAAAAAUCCAGUGGAAUAUCUUCUGCUGGUGGAUAUAGUGGAUAAAAGCUGUUCCAAUAAUAAUUCAAGAAAAAAAAAAGGUUUCAAACUCCAAAAACUGAGAUUUUCCGAAUCAACUAAAAAUAUCAGAUUUCAAAAAGGAUUGCUUUUAUAGCAUGCCUGCGCUGGCUAAGAAUAUGGUUUGCAAGUCUACUCAUUCGAUCACUGGGUGUUCCAUCUUUUAGAUUUCGUGACAUCUCCUCUCCACUAAGCUGUCUCAGAAUAUCCACAGUGCAGCAACCUACUCUGACCUGAAAUUAGAACUUUUAGCAGAAUAAAUGCUUCGCAUGCAUUUUUAUGGAAGAAAAAUGAACAGUACCCAUUAGGGCUUGAAAGUGCCCAGUGAUUAUCUACUUGGUUAAUUGAAUAUUGGAAGUUCCAAGUUGAUUUAGCUAAUUGAAUUGCAAAAUAUAAAGUUCAGCCGAGUAGCUCCACAAAACAACUAUCAACAUUUGUUUUUCUGAUAUGUAAAACAAUGACUUUUCAAUAAAAAAAAAUCUGUAAAAACUGGCUACAGAAUAGAGAAUUUCGAGUAUAAAGCACCAAAAAUUGAUUGCCAACAUUGUACCUGAUUUGCAGCAAAGAUUCCCGGAUUCGUGAGACUGGUUAUCUGGUACAAGGACAGAAAAUUAUUUAGUGUGUCAAUGACCUGCUUAUGAUAAACAUUUGCGGUAACACCUUCCAGUAACUAAUGAUGAAAUCCUCAAAUUGUAGAUCAUGUACCUGAUGUUUAAGAUUGGGUGGAUGAAUUUCGAAAGCAGGCUGCACAACCAAAAUCUCCAGUUUAAAUCUCAGCAAUAAAUAUGUUACAUAAGCAUAUAUACAUGGGCAUAUGUACAUACACUUGCUUUUCUAGAUGAAACACAACUUCUGAGCAAUCACAGAAAAAACAAAAAAGAAAAAAGGACUAGAAGAGGAAUUAUAUCUAUUUCUCAGGUUAGCAAUAUUAUCACCUGUGGGAAAACAAAAUCAUGGUUAGCAUCCCGUGUAGACGGCAAAAUUAAUACAUGUGCAUCAGAGCCCAUAUAUUCCACAUAGUCUUGCAACUGAAACGACAAAUAAAAAAAAAAUGAUGAUAUUGCAAAAUGCUUCCCUAAAUAAAUGACACUACCCUUUCUGAGUAAAUACCCUUCUGAUAAUCUCCAUAUGAAAUAUCUCAUCAAAGCUCCUAUCUACAGUUCCUUUCCUAAUCUCUGGAUGCUCAGAAUCAACAAAUGGUCCCAGCAGUAUAAGCAACUGCGGUGGCUUUCUGCUUGCAUAUGCCAGCAAUUCUGUCAGAGGCUCAAACAAUAAGUUGUCUGUUGUGGUAAAAGGGCCAGAAGCAAUAAGCAUUGAUAUCUCUUUUUGUGUAUAGGUUGAAUCAGUUGAUUGAAUCUCCUGAUCCAAAGCUUGCUUCUUUGCAGGGUGCAAAUCCUCAUCAGGAGAAGCUGAUGAAGGAACAGAGUCUACCACUUUUGAAGCAAUUAAACAAUGUCCACUGGGAUUGUGACCUUCAACACCUACAAUCUGUCCAGGGAAAAUGGAGAACUGGCUCAGUUUAUUUAAGUCCAAACGAACACGCUGCCCUCCAGAAUGCUCAACACUGCUUUGCAACAAGAUUGACUUGUCAUUCAAAUGACCUUCUCCCUCACAGCAGAUCAUUCCAACAGCAAACACAUUUCUCUGUGAGGCAAUUGUAGGGUCCAUUGGUUCCUCAUAGAGUCCAGAAGAAGAAAGCAAAGCCGCAUGCCUUCUAACGUGGUUCUCAAGUGCAUUAAACCGGUCUUCAAUCCUGUCAUACAUGAACCUGCAACCUGGCUCUGGCCCAGAUCCAUGGACUACUAAGGAACACUUGGUGCGGGGAUGUACUCUCUUAAUAAUAUCAUCCUCAAGAUUCUCAUGAGCAUGCUUAUUGUCACCAUUCUUUGUAUCAGGCAGAUUAUUGAUGUUGAAUUUGACCACAAACUUAUCAGUUCGUCGUCCAAAGGGUGUCACAAGCUUUGAUGGUUUUCCAGAGGAAUAACCAUUUCCAUUUGAUUUGCCUGUUGAAUCAAAUGAUUCUGAAUCAAGCCUUAGAGUCUUGUCUGUUGGAGUGCCAGGAAUUACUUCUUUUAAAUCUUCUUCCUCAUCAUUCAAAAUCAUGUCCACAUCUUUGCUAGAGUAGACGUACAAAUUAGGCUCCUCUUUAAGAACUGCUUCUUUCUGUUCAGUCUGCAGGUGCAAUAAAAAUCCAUCCAUUUCAGCAUUUUGUACCGUUGAUUCAUCUAGUUGCCUGUUGAGAUAGUAAACCUCCCAGCUAGAAACAAGAUCUGAUGGUUUGAGAUUGUAAUUUAUACAGAAUGUAAGGCAUUUCUUGAGAAUUUCUUCUUCGUUGUCUAGCGUGAACCCACUUCUGUUGAAUUCUUCUUUAAUCUCCCCUUCCAUGUCGUUCUAGAUCUCUCCCUAGGGUUUCCUGUGAGUUGCAGAGAAUUGGGGGCAAAAGCAAAAAAUGGCGGGAAGAUUGUUGUUUCUGAGUGAAUAAAUU
rnacentral:misc_RNA from 1 species